AGCUGAUUCAUCUAUCUCUUGAGAUGCAUUAAAACUUUGCUGCAGAAGGAUCUGAGUGUGUGUCCUGUGUUUGCGUCCCCGCCGGCGAGACUCCUUAUCCCAGACCACAUAUGGUGCUGAAACCUGGGACUUCAACAUCGCUGGCACUGAGGAGACCCCCUGGAGACAGAGCAGAUUAAGAACGGCAGUGGGUAAGUUCGCUGGUGACAGAGAGGUUAUUACAUCAUCCGCAUGAGAUAGAUUCAGCUGAAGAAUGCUUCCCACAGAGACCUACAGGAGAUCUCCAAGUUUCCCAAGACAGAUCUGGGAUGUGCUCCUAAGCAAACCAUUACAGGCAUGGUUUUUGCUAUCCACACUAUGGAGAUAUCCUCUGCUUGUGUUCUGCUUCUUUGUUAUAAUUAAUACAGGUCUAUCUCUAAACGAGGCCUGCUGCCACAGCUCCACCUGAGACAGCACCAUCUACUGAGACCUACAGAGGAAAGCUGCCUUACUCCAAAAAUCUCAUCUGACUGAAGGUUCCCAAGAAAAGUAUUGAAUCCUAUCAAAGACAGUCCUGGGACCUUUGAGCUACAGAUGGACUCUUUUUUUCUAAAGCCAAAUGGCUGUUGAAUUUUGGGGAAAGUUAUAUGAUAGUAAGGAAAGCAUAAUGUCUAUAUAAAUUAAUUGAUUGCUGUUCAAAAAUGGAUGUUUUUUUCCCCAAGUUGUACUACCCAUGAAACAACUAACUGAUUGUACAAUCUUUUGCCUUCUCAACUCAAUCUCUUGCUUUGUCAACUCUUACCCUUAAUUCUCCUUACUACUCGGGCAUUGUUCUGCUAUUUCUCUAUUUUCUUCUGAUAUUUCCAUCCACUCUAAAUUUUCACAAUUAAUGACACAGUCAUAUCAGUAACCCCCCCCCCAUUUUUUCUAAUAAAAAAAGGAAGAAUUGUGGGGGAAU